GGUCUCCCGUACGUGACCUGCGGAGGGACAUUACACAAAUAUGAAGGCGGGCUGGAACCUCUCGGGGUUACAGCCUUGCUGAAUUAUUCACCCUUGUCUUUUGCGUACUUCUUGUUUCCUUGGUGGGUUCGCCCACCACUAGGACAAACAUAAACCUUUUGUAAUUGCAAUCAGCGUCAGUAACAAAUUAAUAAUUACAACUUUCAACAACGGAUCUCUUGGUUCUGGCAUCGAUGAAGAACGCAGCGAAAUGCGAUAAGUAGUGUGAAUUGCAGAAUUCAGUGAAUCAUCGAAUCUUUGAACGCACAUUGCGCCCUUUGGUAUUCCAAAGGGCAUGCCUGUUCGAGCGUCAUUUGUACCCUCAAGCUUUGCUUGGUGUUGGGCGUCUUGUCUCUAGCUUUGCUGGAGACUCGCCUUAAAGUAAUUGGCAGCCGGCCUACUGGUUUCGGAGCGCAGCACAAGUCGCACUCUCUAUCAGCAAAGGUCUAGCAUCCAUUAAGCCUUUUUUUCAACUUUUGACCUCGGAUCAGGUAGGGAUACCCGCUGAACUUAA
rnacentral:rRNA from 1 species